rnacentral:misc_RNA from 1 species
AAAAUCACAGCUCCUGUUGCCUUAAAAUGCUUGAUGUGUGUUUUGCUCUGUUUGCGCUCAAUUCAUCUCUUUAUGCUUGAUAACCUCUUACAUGCUCUUGUAAACACCUAAUAAUAUAAAAAUAAGCAAUAACUAGCUAAUUAAAUAAGAAAAAAACUCAAAACACUAAGUAUUCAAUGAUAAAGAUAUGACAUUUUAGGCAACUAUCAAAUUCUCCUACACUUAGCUUUUGGUCAUCCUAGAUCAAAACUAACUAAAAUAUAAAACAAUGACUCGAUCUAUACUUUCCAAGAUUAUCAAAGAUAAGCAUAUCAUAAGCAUGAACAUAACCAAG